AUUUUAAUUUCUAACGAACAUCUUAAAUCGCCAGAGUUCUUCCCGGCCAGUUCUUAAUUCUCAUGGCGUUGGGUGCUUCGCUUGCUCGAGGAAAAUGUCAGCAUUUUCUUGCCCAGGUCCUUGCUUCUUCAGGACGAGUACUGAAUCUGGACGAAACCAGGACGUUUAAAAGACCAUGCAGGCUUCAAAUAGUGGCAAGAGUUGGGAAAAGGCCCCCGUUGAGGCGUGGAAAGGUUUCACCAUGUCGACCUGUUCCUGAACACAUACCGAGGCCUCCUUAUGUUGGCUCGCCAACCAUUCCAGAAAUUUCAAGAGACUAUCAAAUGCAUGAUUCCAAAGGGAUUUAUCGGAUGAGGGCUGCAUGUGCACUUGCUGCUCAAGUCUUAGACUAUUCAGGGACACUGGUUAAGUCCUCGAUAACGACAGAUGAUAUCGAUGAGGCAGUGCAUCAGAUGAUAAUUAGUGCUGGUGCUUAUCCUUCACCCCUUGGCUAUGGCGGGUUUCCAAAGAGUGUAUGCACAUCAGUUAACGAAUGCAUGUUUCAUGGAAUACCCGACUCCCGUAAAUUGCAGAGCGGUGACAUAAUAAACAUCGAUGUGGCAGUCUAUCUCGAUGGAUAUCAUGGAGACACUUCCAAGACGUUUCUCUGUGGGGAUGUUAGCGAUGAAAUGAAACGUUUAGUAAAGGUUACAGAAGAAUGCUUGGAGAGAGGCAUAGCUGUUUGUAAAGAUGGUGCCACUUUUAAGCAAAUAGGACAGACAAUCAGGGAGCAUGCUGAAAAACAUAGUUUUGAAGUAGAGCGUUUUAUUGGGCAUGGUGUGGGAACAGUAUUACAUUCUCAGCCGCUUAUAUUUUAUCCCUGUUCAGUGUAAAUUUUGGAAGAGAGUGUUAUGGACUUUGUCUUGCAUGAAAAGCACAUUAAAUCCCCUAUUGGUGAAGAUAGCCUCUGCGCUUGGAGAUUCUUCCAAUUUAAAGGUGCAUAACACUUUCGUCUUUUCGUUUGAUUCAAUCAAGAAGAAAAGAUUAAGCUGCAGCUGCUGCAUUUUGGAAGACGAAAGAUUUGAUUUUAAAGACGAUUUAAAUACCAGUGUUAGUAGUUUAGAUGAGGAGAAGUUUGAUUUGAUAAUGAAGAUUUUGGUUGGUAGCUAAAGGUUUCUCUGAAGGGUCAUAUGAAGAAGAUAUUAGKGCACUUUUUGAAGAUGGCUUUGGAGAAUGUAGUGAUGAAUUCUCCCACAAAAUGGAAAAGGAAGUUUUAAUGAGUUAUUUUGAUGAGGCAAUGAGGAUCCACCCUCACUUGGGUGCAUGCUUGAAGGUCAAACUUUCACAAUUGGCUGACAUGUGCAUUUGUCCGAGUUGUGAAGAGCGGAGUUAGAAACUUCUGUGGAGCAAGCGCGCUCUGAUUGGGGUCGGGCAGAGGCCGAGGUGGAUGCAAAGAAGGUGACUCUAUUGCGGCGCGAGACUGAACACAAAGUUAAGUUAGAGGCUCAGCAUUCCCAAUUUGAGGUUGUCCUGAGUGAUGUGAAGAAGCUAAAAGAAGCAAUGCAGAGGAUUGGAGCUUACGAUGCCCUUGAACGAGAGAUUAUGGAGUUGAGCGUGGAUUGGGUGAAAAACCGGGUUAGUGAGAGGUUCCCUGAUAUAGAUUUUGGAUUUAUUUCUACCUUGCUCAAUACCGAGUGGGGUGGACCUCAUGCACCUGAGCCUUCUGAAGUCGCCGCAAGAUGUGUCCCCAGCGUUGGUGAGAUAGGGAUAGUUGGUGCUAGCAGGAGCAUAGUAGCUACCCUUAUUGGUACGGUGGGAUCGGACUCCUCUCGUGAAAGAGCCUCGCCUAUUGAUGUUAGCCCUUCUGAGGCCACCCAUAUGAGUGAUUUAGUGGGCGACUUGAUGUGUUGUUAACUGGGGGAGAGCCAAGGGCCAGUAGCAUUAUUAUUUUGCUUGACAUUACGACAAUGUCGUGUAUUGAGAACUUUUGUCCGCUAGUAUUCAUAACAUGAUUUGGAUUAUCUUUUAGCAACAUGUGCUUUCAUGGAUGAUACUUUUUGAGAUGCUUUUUGAGAUGUUCUACAUUCCAUGGGUGUUUUAUUUGCUUACUUUCACAAAUUGCUAGAUAAUAAGUACU